rnacentral:rRNA from 1 species
AUGACCCGCAUCCUACAACUUCAAAGAAGUAUUUGUAUCACACCCGAGCAAUGGACCGUGGAAGGAGUUUCAUUCAUUUACGGAGUUUGGAAGCGAGGACGAUCCAGGAUCGACUGCUAUCAGAAGAAGUGGAAUGGAUCUGAUUACCCAUUGGCGUCUGCAUUGACGCUUCUAACUAGCCCUACUUUGUGUCUUUUGUGUUUUCUUAUUCAUGUACUCAUGUAUAUUUCUAUUUGUAUGAUACUUAUAUUACAAUCGAUCUAUCCCUUGGUCCUGCCAAUCGAAUUGUGAAGUAUGUUUUUCCCUUUCGAAAUGGUGACAGUACCAAAUGCCGAAUUAGCGGUUGUACCGGGUCAGGACCAUAAACACCACGAGCUGGUUAAGCAACAGAAGCUAUGGGCGAAAGCACACUCGUCAUUCUCAGACCUGCGGUCGAGGUACGUGCGAACAAGUUCCCAUUCUCUAUGUUUCAUGGCCUAUCAAUGA